AAACAAAUAGCUUAAAAUUAAAGCACUACAUUGAAGCUGUAACUAUAGGGUUAUCUCUUUUGUUUA
rnacentral:tRNA from 1 species